rnacentral:rRNA from 1 species
AGAGUUUGAUCCUGGCUCAGAAUGAAGGCUAGCGGUAUGCUUAACACAUGCAAGUCGAACGAAAAAGCAAUUUUUAGUGGCGAACGAGUGAGUAACGCGUGAGAAUUUACCUUGAAGAAGAGGAUAACUAAUAGAAAUAUUAGCUAAAACUCUAUAUGCCAAAGUUAAAAUUUGGUGAAAAAAGAGAUUUGCUUCAAGAAAAGCUCGCGUCUGAUUAGCUAGUUGGUGGGGUAAAGGCCUACCAAGGCGACGAUCAGUAGCUGGUCUUAGAGGAUGAUCAGCCACGACGGUACUGAGACACGGACCGUACUUCUACGGAAGGCAGCAGUGAGGAAUUUUCUACAAUGGACGAAAGUCUGAUAGAGCAAUACCGCGUGAAGGAUGAAGGCCUACGGGUUGUAAUCUUCUUUUCUCAAGGAGAAAGAAGUGAUGUUACUUGAGGAAUAAGCGUCGGCUAAAUUUGUGCCAGCAGCCGCGGUAAUACAAAUGACGCAAGUCUUAUUCGGAUUUAUUGGGCGUAAAGCGUCUGCAGGUGGAUAUUUAAGUCUUUUGUUAAAACUUUGGGCUCAACCCAAAAUCUGCAAAGGAAACUAUUUGAUCUUGAGUAAGAUAGAGGUAAAGGGAAUUUCCGGUGGAGCGGUGAAAUGCGUAGAGAUCGGAAGGAACACCAAUGGCGAAAGCACUUUACUGGGUCUUUUACUGACACUCAGAGACGAAAGCUAAGGGAGCAAACAGGAUUAGAUACCCUGGUAGUCUUAGCUGUAAACGAUGGAAACUAGAUGUUGUGUGUUUUUAGCAUGCAGUGUCGUAGCUAACGCAUUAAGUUUCCCGCCUGGGAAGUAUGCUCGCAAGAGUGAAACUCAAAGGAAUUGACGGGAACCCGCACAAGCGGUGGAUUAUGUGGUUUAAUUCGAUGCAACACGAAGAACCUUACCAGGACUUGACAUGGAGAGAAGUUUUCUGAAAAGAAAAUGUGCUACGGCCUCUUACACAGGUGGUGCAUGGCUGUCGUCAGCUCGUGUCGUGAGAUGUUGGCUUAAGUGCCGCAACGAGCGCAACCCUUGUUUCUAGUUAAAAUUCUAGAAAGACUGCUGAUUAUAAAUCAGAGGAAGGCGAGGACGACGUCAAGUCAUCAUGCCUCUUACGUCCUGGGCUACACACGUAAUACAAUGGAUAUGACAAAAAGUAGCCAAUUUGCGAAAAUGAGCCAAUCUUUAAACAUAUCCUUAGUUCAGAUUGUAGACUGCAACUCGUCUACAUGAAGGUGGAAUCGCUAGUAAUCGCAGGUCAGCUAUACUGCGGUGAAUCCGUUCCCGGGUUUUGUACACACCGCCCGUCACACUAUGAGAGCUGAUUAGAUCCAAAGUGAUUUCCUUAACCUUAAUUGGAUUGGAAUCCCUAAGGUAGAAUUGGUGAUUGAAGUGAAGUCGUAACAAGGUAACCGUA